UUUGUAUUUCACUUGGCCUAUAAUUAUGUUCAGAAGUUUUAUAAACUUAUAUUGGUAAUAUCUAAAGACAUUUUACAAAAUGCUUGAACGUUUCUAGGGAUUAUUAAACAUCGGGUAGUAAAACUCAACCAGAAGACGAUGAAGCUAACCCUAAAAGAAGAGUAGACAAGAUAUUUGAACAGCUUGACAAGAAUCAAGACAACAAACUGUCAAUGGAGGAAUUCCAGGAAGGAUCCAAACAAGACCCGAAGAUAGUCCAAGCCCUGUCUUUGUAUGGCUCGUGAUUUUUGUUGUUUCUAUCAGUUUUCAUCCUCUGCUUGUAAGAUUAUAGUUUUUGGUGACGUGAACAUUCCAAAUUCACUACAGUGAUCAAUAACUUUAGUUUCCUUUUAUGAUCUUGGUUUUCUCCAUCAGUUCAUAUUCUUGAUAUUCUAAUACAGAUUUGGUUUCUUCUAGAAACGUAAAUCAAUUUCAUUCCACUCGGUAUUCCUUUGUCUUGAUUCCAUAAUUCAAAAUGUUACACUAGGGUCCUUUGUUGCUCAGACAAACUGAUAAAUUAUUAACAAUCUGUAACUAUAAAAAUAAAAAGCCUUAGAAUAAAGCUUGCAGUCACUCUUAACUUAUAAGUUUCUAAACAACAACGGGAACAGUUUCCAAAAUGUUAUCGGUAUGUAGUCCAACACUAUUAGACAGGAUAAUUAAACAAAAAGAAAUAGAUUUAAUCAUAUAGUUUAAUACAAUCAGCAUUUCAAAUUUUUAACAUUAGUUAACUUUGUUAUGAUAUAAUUUAAAUAUCUUAACAUGUUCAUGCAACCUUUUUGCAAUUCCCUGAGCAUGUACAUUUCAAGUUUUUAAUCUCUUUUUUCUGUUUGUAUGAAAUGUUUUUUGUUUUUUUUUGUACAGUGGCAUGACGAUGUGUAUCAAAGAGUUUCUUAAACCUGUUGUUUAAUAAAGAUUCGUACAAUAUUCA